rnacentral:Y_RNA from 1 species
GGCUGGUCUGAAGGCAGUGAGUGAUCUCACUGGAUUGCUCACCAGUCACAGACUGAACUCCUUGCUCUACGACUUUCCCCUUCUCACUCCUGCACUUGACUAGUCUGAA